GACGAACCACACAAACGUUAUUCGGAAUUACUGGGCUUAAAGGGUGCGUAGGCGGCGUGGAAAGUUAGGUGUGAAAUCCCUCAGCUUAACUGAGGAACAGCGCCCAAAACUACCAUGCUCGAGGGAGAUAGAGGAAUGCGGAACUUAGGGUGGAGCGGUGAAAUGCGUUGAUAUCCUAGGGAACACCGGUGGCGAAAGCGGCAUUCUGGAUCUCUUCUGACGCUGAGGCACGAAAGCUAGGGUAGCAAACGGG
rnacentral:rRNA from 1 species